AGCUCCAAUAGCGUAUAUUUAAGUUGUUGCAGUUAAAAAGCUCGUAGUUGGAUUUCGGGUGGGUUUCAGCGGUCCGCCUAUGGUGAGUACUGCUGUGGCCUUCCUUACUGUUGGGGACCUGCUUCUGGGCUUCAUUGUCCGGGACAGGGAUUCAGCAUGGUUACUUUGAGUAAAUUGGAGUGUUCAAAGCAGGCUUACGCCGUGAACAUUUUAGCAUGGAAUAACAUGAUAGGACUCUGCCCUAUUCUGUUGGCCUGUAGGAGUGGAGUAAUGAUUAAGAGGAACAGUCGGGGGCAUUCGUAUUUCAUUGUCAGAGGUGAAAUUCUUGGAUUUAUGAAAGACGAACUACUGCGAAAGCAUUUGCCAAGGAUGUUUUCAUUA
rnacentral:rRNA from 1 species